rnacentral:rRNA from 1 species
AGUGAACGCUGGCGGUAGGCCUAACACAUGCAAGUCGAACGGCAGCACAGUAAGAGCUUGCUCUUACGGGUGGCGAGUGGCGGACGGGUGAGGAAUACAUCGGAAUCUACUUUUUCGUGGGGGAUAACGUAGGGAAACUUACGCUAAUACAGCAUACGACCUACGGGUGAAAGCAGGAGAUCUUCGGACCUUGCGCGAUUGAAUGAGCCGAUGUCGGAUUAGCUAGUUGGCGGGGUAAAGGCCCAACAAGGCGACGAUCCGUAGCUGGUCUGAGAGGAUGGUCAGCCACACUGGAACUGAGACACGGUCCAGACUCCUACGGGAGGCAGCAGUGGGGAAUAUUGGACAAUGGGCGCAAGCCUGAUCCAGCCAUACCGCGUGGGUGAAGAAGGCCUUCGGGUUGUAAAGCCCUUUUGUUGGGAAAGAAAAGCAGCAGGUUAAUACCCCGCUGUUCUGACGGUACCCAAAGAAUAAGCACCGGCUAACUUCGUG